AGGAAUUUAACCACUUUGUAUCUUUAUGAAAACAAGCUUUCUGGUUCCAUCCCUCAUGAAAUUGGAUUGUUGAGAUCUCUUAAUGAUCUUGACUUGUCAAAUAACAAUCUCAGUGGUCUCAUCCCACCUUCCAUAGGAAACUUGAGGAAUUUAACCACUUUAUAUCUUCAAAAAAACAAGCUUUCUGGUUCUAUCCCUCAAGAAAUUGGAUUGUUGAGAUCUCUUAAUGAUCUUGCGUUCUAUACUAACAAUCUUAGUGGUCCCAUCCCAUCUUCCAUAGGAAACUUAAGGAAUUUAACCACUUUGCAUCUUUAUGAAAACAAGCUUUCUGGUUCCAUCCCUCAUGAAAUUGGAUUGUUCAGAUCUCUUAAUGAUCUUGCGUUGUCUACUAACAAUCUUAGUGGUCCCAUCCCACCUUCCAUAGGAAACUUGAGGAAUUUAACCACUUUGCAUCUUUAUGAAAACAAGCUUUCUAGUCCCAUCCCUCAUGAAAUUGGAUUGUUCAGAUCUCUUAAUGAUCUUGAGUUGUCAACUAACAAUCUCAGUGGUCCUAUCCCACCUUCCAUAGGAAACUUGAGGAAUUUAACCACUUUGUAUCUUGAUGAAAACGAGCUUUCUAGUUACAUCCCUCAUGAAAUUGGAUUGUUGAGAUGUCUUAAUGAUCUUGUGUUGCAUAUUAACAAUCUCAAUGGUCCCAUCCCGCUUUCCAUAGGAAACUUGAGGAAUUUAACCACUUUGUAUCUUUAUGAAAAAAAGCUUUCUGGUUCCAUCCCUCAUGAAAUUGGAUUUUUGAGAUCUCUUAAUGAUCUUGACUUGUCAAAUAACAAUCUCAGUGGUCCUAUCCCACCUUCCAUAGGAAACUUGAGGAAUUUAACCACUUUGUAUCUUUAUGAAAACAAGCUUUCUGGUUCCAUCCCUCAUGAAAUUGGAUUGUUGAGAUCUCUUAAUGAUCUUGAGUUUUCAAAUAACAAUCCCAGUGGCCUCAUCCCACCUUCCAUAGGAAACUUGAGGAAUCUAACCACUUUGUAUCUUCAUAAAAACAAGCUUUCUGGUUCUAUCCCUCAAGAAAUUGGAUUGUUGAGAUCUCUUAAUGAUCUUGAGUUGUCAACUAAUAGUCUCAGUGGUCCUAUAUCGCCUUCCAUAGGAAACUUGAGGAAUUUAACCACUUUGUAUCUUUAUGAAAACAAGCUUUUUGGUUCCAUCCCUCAUGAAAUUGGAUUGUUGAGAUCUCUUAAUGAUCUUGACUUGUCAAAUAACAAUCUCAGUGGUCUCAUCCCACCUUCCAUAGGAAACUUGAGGAAUUUAACCAUUUUGUAUCUUCAGAAAAACAAGAUUUCUGGUCCCAUCCCUCAAGAAAUUGGAUUGUUGAGAUCUCUUAAUGAUCUUGCGUUCUAUACUAACAAUCUCAGUGGUCCCAUCCCAC
rnacentral:lncRNA from 1 species